rnacentral:rRNA from 1 species
UGGUGGCUAUAGCGUCGGUGUCCCACCCGAUCCCAUCCCGAACUCGGCCGUGAAACCCGACUGCGCCAAUGGUACUACUGCCUAAGCAGUGGAAGAGUAGGUCGUCGCCA